UUCGUUGAUAAGUUUCGGGCACACUACCUGUUUGCACAUAAACAAUGCCGAAAGUGUGUUAUAAGCAAAAUUUCCGCGAUUUGUGGUUAAAUGUUGACGAAUUUAAGGAGUGACUACACAAAGUACCAACUGACCUGACCCCACAGAAGCGUACUGCUGCCUUUGUAAGGCAACAAUUCGGGCCAAGUUGUGCGAGUUACGGCAGCAUGCGUUGACUCAAAAACACAUUGCGUCCAUUUUAAAAUUGGACCAAUUGUCAAUGAAUCCUAGCAUGACACACCCACUGGUUGUGGGCCAGCAAUGACGACUGCAUUGCUUACCUCAGCCUCGGCCAUGUACACGCAUCAGCAGCAGCAGCAGCAGCAGGCGCAGCCUUCGGGUCGCAAUUCUAUACUGAAGCAGCAGGGGAGUGUCAAGGGCGACAAGCGGGUAUCGAUUCAACAAACAUCGAGCAGUAAUCAUAACAACAACAACAACAACAAUAAUGCCAAGUCAGCAACGAAUGUUGAAUAUAUCUCCGAAGGAGCAGGAAGCAAAGUGCGACUAACCGCAAAGCCGCCAGCA